GAUGAACGCUGGCGGCGUGCUUAACACAUGCAAGUCGAACGGAAAGGCCCAAGCUUGCUUGGGUACUCGAGUGGCGAACGGGUGAGUAACACGUGGGUGAUCUGCCCUCACCUCGGGAUUAGCCUUGGAAACUUGGUCUAAUACCCGGUAGGACCACUUCUUGGAUUGUUUGGUGGGAAGUUUUUUCGGUGUGGGAUGAGCUCGCGGCCUAUCAGCUUGUUGGUGGGGUAAUGGCCUACCAAGGCGUCGACGGGUAGCCGGCCUGAGAGGGUGUACGGCCACAUUGGGACUGAGAUACGGCCCAGACUCCUACGGGAGGCAGCAGUGGGGAAUAUUGCACAAUGGGCGCAAGCCUGAUGCAGCGACGCCGCGUGGGGGAUGACGGCCUUCGGGUUGUAAACUCCUUUCGCUAGGGACGAAGCGUUUUGUGACGGUACCUGGAGAAGAAGCACCGGCUAACUACGUG
rnacentral:rRNA from 1 species